rnacentral:lncRNA from 1 species
AUGGAUCGUUCAAGACCGUGGUACCCAUUCAAACUGCCAGGAAUGUGUAGACUUUGUAAGACUACAUUCAUUUUGACUUUGAUAUCAGUGACUUUUUGUUUGAUAAUUUUGUGCUUCAUUGAGAGCUUGAAAGAAUGGUCUGCGGAAAAACACACCAACUGGACUGAAACAUCCGUGCUAAACAGCAUCAUCAAACAACGCACAAAAAGAGACACAUUCACGGAAGUGGAGCCGGUGAGAGGACUGUACAAGAACUGUCUCGGGUGCGAUGGACAUACUGAGGAGUACGCACCUUUCCACAUCUGCGAAAGCCCAUGUAAAUGGACCGACGUGAAAGCAUACGCUUAUAACUACAAGUCAGGAUACGAUGAAAGAUUUCGGGUGCACGCUGAAGACAAACUGAGUAACAACAGGUAUGGGAUGAGAGUGGAAUUGAAACAUGCAACACGUGCUGACCAAGGCAGGUAUUACUGUGCCCUGGACUUGACUGGGACUGACUGGUAUGAGACAAUAGACAUUAUGGUAGUCAAGGCAGCCAGACCAUGGACCGCAACGACGAUGACACCUUUCUUGUCACCUGUGUCACCUGAGGUCGAACAAGCUACUGAAGAGGAACUGGCCUGGAUGGGGAAUGGAGACACAAGCAAAGGUCAGGUAAAUCCUGAAGUACAGAAAGCCAUGAUGAAAUGCCAGGGGAACAAAGCCUGCGCGCUGGCAAUACUGCAGAAAGAGGAACUGAAGAUCAAAACGAGCUGCUGGAUGUGUCUGCAAAUGUCUCAUGCCUGGAAAACUGUCCCUCUGACGGCAGCAACAGCCAACGAAACUAAGUGUCUUAUUCCUCAACAAAUGACUGAUGUGCUAAAAACUGUUGUGGACCUGGAGGAAGGAAGGACACCAACGAAACAGCCUGCUGACGACUGUGACCACAUACAGCAAUACAACAACACUGAUAUAGCAAUUCCACCUUUGAGGGUAACAUAUGCCCAGGGUGAUGUUUGUGUCUGUUUCAACAGACCGAGAAUGUUAAAGACCGGAUGGUCUGACUGCAGGAUCAAAAUCAACGUACAGGACGGAACAAUGAGCAAUUGUACAGCAAUCAUCAACAACAAAGAAAUCAACUUCACAUGUCCAUUCCACAAACCGAACGAAAGUUCACCAGCCGUGGUGUGGGUGUGUGGUGACAGAGCUACUCACUGUUUGCCUAAAAAAGACUGGUCAGGUUGCUGUUAUCCAGCUUUGAUGAAUGUGAGGACUUCUGUGUAUUUACCAAGCAAAGUAGGUAAGAGGGAGAGACGAGACAUUAAGAUUUUGCCUGGGGCUUUGCCAAAUCAUUAUGCGGGGUACACACUAACUGAUCCGUGGACGACACCAGGAGCAAAUAUAGGUUGGUCCAUUUUCUUAGGGGUGGGUACAGCAGUAACGAUUAACAAGAUUAAUGGGUUAGCAUGGACGGUAUUAGCAAUGGCCAAUAGCACAGAAAAUGCUUUGACAUUGAUAAGUGAUGAAAUGAGGCAACUGAGGGACUCAGUCAUUCAAAACUGUUUAGUUCUUGAUAUGCUUAUGGGCG